GGAAGGGAAGGAAAAGGAAGGGAAAGGAAGGGAAAGGAAGGGAAAGGAAGGGAAGAGCCAGAGCAGAGGCAGAGGGAAGUGGCAGGAAAUUGACCAGAAAGAAGAGAACUCUAGAUAUUCUCAGCUCCCAGAAGGAUCCUAAGGGCUUGGUCCCACAUCCCCUGCAGCUCUGGGGCUGGGGCUGGGAUUGGAAUUGGGGCUGGAAGACCGAGACCAGCCAUUGCGGAGAGUGAAUGGGAUGGAUUCAAAUUCCUCCCCUCCCCCCCAUUUCCUUCGAGAUCUCUACACCACAGUCUUGGGAAGAACUUCGAGGAACGCCUGGCUCCUGGGCCCACGGUGGGGGAGGGGCCAUUCCAGACUGGGCUUUUGGACCGUCCACCUCCUCCUGAAGCAAAUGCCUGAGAUCCAAUGGAAGUUGAGGAAACUGAGGGCAAGCCAUUCUUACUUCCCAAGUGUCCCCAGCCCCUUGGGCAGGCAGAAUCCAGAACACUAAAGAGUUCCAC